rnacentral:misc_RNA from 1 species
AGGGUUUGACAUCCUGCGACCGCCCUCUAAUAGGGGUUUUCCCGCAAGGGACGCAGAGACAGGUGCUGCAUGGCUGUCGUCAGCUCGUGUCGUGAGAUGUUGGGUCAAGUCCCGCAACGAGCGCAACCCUCGCCUUUAGUUGCCAUCAUUCAGUUGGGCACUCUAGAGGGACCGCCGGCGACAAGCCGGAGGAAGGUGGGG